GAAAGAGUGGUCGUGUUCGAGAAAAUGCAUUUCAAAAUUUUAUUUUUCAUUUUAAUUUUAAAUAUUAUUCGUUCAUCACAGCUUUUGGAUUCUGAUAAUAAUUACGAAUUGGUGCCAGUAAUGUCUCCUAUGGCUGGAAACGCACCAUUUUUCGAGCUCCCGUGCAUGAUCGUUGGUGGUACUUGCGCCAAGCCGAUGUAUUGCCCCGAUGGCACUAGAGUAGGCACAAAAGGAUUGUGUCCAGUCCAACAGGAGCAAGGCAUGGAGUGCUGUCGACCAAUACACCCGGUAGAGGUCAAUCGAGCUGAAGAAACAAUUGAUUCAUAGCUGCACCGCCCAUGGAUAUGCACAGUACCAAAGGACUUUCAAGCUCAGGCGAUAUUACAUGUCAUUCAAAAGGGGGUGAGUGCGUUUCAGACCAUUACAAAUGUCCACGACUGUUACGAGUGAAAGAGGCAAAUGAUUGUGGCAUUGGAAAUACGUGUUGUGCAUUCAUCUGAAUAAAUGUA